GGUGUACAGAAUGCCAUCAGCUGCCUCUUAAUGUAACCCUGGCCUGUUGCCCCCCCCACCCCCCGUGCUAAUGUGGCUGCAUUAUAGGACUCCAAGGGUAGCUAUAAACUCUCUAGAUAACUGUGGGCCACAUUGAUUUAGUACAAGGGAGAUGGUACCCAAAGGAAUUAGAGCAAGACAUCAUUAGCCACUGCUCUUUGGUUGGUGGAUGGCUGGUUUCCAUAAUGACAGGAAGGCACAGAGUAAUGAAGUCCUGUCGCUGUAUUUCCCAUCGUUGUCAUCGAGAAAUACGUGUGCAAACAUGUAGGAGUUUGGAUCAAAGACAAAAUAGACGGGACUGGGAACUGGACUUUUACAACAUCCUUAAUAUUUAACUAAAGCAAACUAAGAGGGGAAAAUGGAACAAAGAGAUUAUUCACUAACAAGAUUCAUCGCAUCCAUUCUGAAAGCUGUAGGGCCAGCCAUGGAGGAGUGUUGCUUUGUCAACUCGAACUGUCUUACUUACCCAAAUACUGUCUGUGCCCAAGGAGAAGCCUGGUUAUGACGUACAAAGUGAGGAGCAGGCAAAGACAGAAACUUUAUUUGGCAUCUUCAAUAAAUGAUAACUUUGUGGAA
rnacentral:lncRNA from 1 species